AUACGGAGGGUGCAAGCGUUAAUCGGAAUUACUGGGCGUAAAGAGUACGUAGGCGGCCUAUUAAGUCAGAUGUGAAAGCCCAGGGCUCAACCUUGGAACUGCAUUUGAAACUGGUAGGCUAGAGUAUGGUAGAGGGGGGUAGAAUUUCUGGUGUAGCGGUGAAAUGCGUAGAUAUCAGAAGGAAUACCAGUGGCGAAGGCGGCCCCCUGGCCCAAUACUGACGCUGAGGUACGAAAGCGUGGGUAGCGAACGGGAUUAGAAACCCCGGUAGUCC
rnacentral:rRNA from 1 species